CACAUGCAUCUCAUCAGCAGUUUGGCUGCAGGAGAAAAUGAACCAUUAAGAUUUCAUUUCUUGCCUAUGAAUCACUUUUAGAGAAUCCUCUGCCUUCAUCACUUUGAGACAAAGCCAUAAGAUGAAUAAUUUGCCCUCUACUAUUGGAGAUAAUAGCCAAGACAUCCAUCUUCCCUUCUAAGACUAAGAGCUCGAGCAGUGAUGCCAAUCUUCAGCCUAUAAAGUGUCUGAAAUGAGUUCCAGUUCUAAGGACACGAAGGGAACAGCCUGCACAGUUCUUGUAAUUGCUGUUCCUAAGCAUGCUUUGCUGAUAUGGAAACAUGAUCAAUCAUGAUUCAAACAGGUGUGUGCACAUGCUCCAGACUAACAGCAUCUGUU